rfam:Cajanus cajan Scaffold000409_15, whole genome shotgun sequence.
UGGCGACGAUUUAAUAUUAUUUGCGCUUCUGACUUUUUUUCGCUUCAUCGGUUAAAAAAUAGUUGAAUUUCUUGAUAUGAUCUA